GCCACUGUCAUUCAGUUCUUGCUUUAGUUUCAGCAGAUUAACUGUUGAAGGCUGAAUGUAUCCAGACACUGUAGUUCUGCUAGAAAUUCUCAUUUUUCCCAUGUUUUUAAAUAAUGAAAAGCUAUUCUUCAUAUUAAAACUCUCUAGUAACAAUCCAGUAUAUUUAAGUAUUAUGUUAUGUACAGUUUUCCCCCAAAUGAACAAACAAUCCCAUUUUUCUUCUAUCUCCACAUGGUAUUCCUGUCUCUGCAGCAGCAGCCACCCUGCACUGCUCAAGAAACAUUGAAAAAAGAUGACCCCAACUGACCACACAUCAACCUUGUUGGAAAUCUUUGUUGGCUCUUUUCCAACUAAAAACAUUAAGGAGGUAAAUACCAGUAAGUGCCUGCUCCUUGGGAGGUUAGAUCCAUUCCAUCUACACCAUAGCUGUCAUCAUCCAUAAUUUUGGAUAGACCAAAAUCAGUAAUUUUGAUUUCCCUAUAUGC
rnacentral:lncRNA from 1 species